rnacentral:sRNA from 1 species
AAAAGGAGGAGAGUUUUCAGUUGGGUUUUGGUUUCUUGGUGAGAGAAGAGAGAAAAAGAGAGGAUGGGAAGAGGGAAAGUUGAGCUGAAGAGGAUAGAGAACAAGAUCAAUAG